GUCCCUGUAGCACAAUGGAAAGUGCGUUGGACUUAUAAUCCAAAGGGGACGUGGCUUCGAAUCCCACCAGGGAUG